rnacentral:lncRNA from 1 species
ACCAUAAGCAUAGAUGCCCCUAAGAAGGUUUUCUUGCAAACCCAUGGCAUCAAAACUGUCAUAAACCUCAUCAUAUGAUGUGAAGAACUCCUCCUGCUCAGUCCCAAGCCUGUUUCAGCAUGUCAAAACAUCCAGAAAAUUGAAAAAUUAAAUGAGCAAGCAAAGACAAGGAACACAACAUAGUCGCAAGUGAUAGCUAAAGAAAGGACGAAAAUAAAACGCAAGUGUAGUUUUCUGCAACCAGAUUAAUAUCCUAUUGGUAGAGAAUUGAGAGCAAGCAACUUACAGCUCAGUCAUUUUGGCAUCAUACUGACGAGCAUCAAAUUGAGAACCUUCCGGUGCCAAGCCAGCCAUGACUGUAGAAAAUAAAAGAACUAUGGUAUUACUUUAAUGGAAAUUCAUUAAACAAUCUUGAACUUAAUAAAGAGGAAAAGCCAAAACCUUACUGCUGAAAUAUCACAUUUUCCAAUACUAGCACUAGCGAUAAUAUUAUCUGUUCUUCCUCUCGAAUAUUGAAAGGGGUGGAGGGCACGACAGAAUGUAUGUUUUCUUUCUUUAUGAAGAAGCACAAAGCACAUAAAGAGGAGAUACACAUGAAAAAAGUUGUUUGAACAUACAGACUAAAUUGCAGCCAACUGCCAGCCAACCUUUCCACAUGUAAUAGGUUUCCAACUAUCCAGUUUUUCCAAUGAGCAAAUACAUUCAGAACUGAGAGAACAUCUAAGAAAACACCCAUUACUUAAAAUCAAAUUAAUGAUAGUCUCAUCCCAUAAGUAUCUCAACAUACAAAUCCAAGGUCCAAAUGACCACCAUUCACAUUCCUUUCAAAAUAUAAUCCUUUUGCACAAUACUUUACAAAAAGGUUCUUUAAUCUAAAUACAAGCACUAUGAGAAUGAAAUAGCUGAUGUUACAAACAGAUAAUAAACAAAGACGAUACUUUUACAAUCAAGAAUAUCACAUCAAUCAGAUCUCUAUCCAAAGUAGUCAAAAAAUAUCACACAUACAGAAACAGCUACAUAACCCAAAACCCAGCUGUAGAAACCAAUUCAGACCGACAACCAAUCAUCAAGAUACAAAAACGAAGAUUAUAUCAUAGAAAAAAGGGAGAAAAAAACAUAGCUAACCUGAUAGAGACGAGGAAAAGAUCUGAGGAAUAGCAAACAGAGAGUUGAAAGGAAAAGUGGGUAAAAGCGAUUGGAGAGUUAGGGUUUGCAAAGACUGCUGUUUUUGUCUGAAACUCCUCGGAUCUACGCCGCAGGAGUUCAGAGGAAAAGAGAAUAGAAAGAUUAGACUCUUGCGUUGUGUUAUGUGUUUUUUUUUUAUGGUUUUUUUGUAAUUGUGUUCUUUUAUGGAAUUGUAUUUACUAUUUUCUGUAACAUCUUGUUUUGUCUUUUAUUUUUUGAAAUUCCUAUUUUGACCCGAGAAUGGGGUGGAUUCUACAAAAUUGAGGGCUAGAUUUUUUAUUGGGCUGCUUGGGCCAAAUUUAGGUGAGUUACUUUAUCUAUACUAUAUUAAAAGUAGGAAAACUCUUAUCGAAAUGUCAAUUGCUUUUUUUAUCCUUUAAAACAUAAUUUUACAUCGGAUAAUCUUGUUAUUUAGCGCUUCUCCAAAUAUUUAGGACAUUAAAAUCAAAUAAAAUUUAAUUUAUUAAAUUUUUCCUUAUUUAAAUUAGGCCUUUAAAAUCAAUUAAAAGAUUUUCUUAUUCUAAUAAAAAGAGAAAUAGAAAACUUUAAAAACUUACCUAACGUUAAUUAGGUAAACAUGGAAACUUGAAAAAUUCUAAUUUAUUGCAAUAUAAAUAACGACAAAAUUGAAUAGAGUUUCUUUAGUUAACUAUAAAUUCUAACAAUUUAUGAAGAUUAAAGUGGCAGAUCUCUUAUUUAAUUUAAAUAAGGUUAAAUUGGUUCUCUAAUAUCGGUAAAGCAAUAUCUUCCCAUUGCAAAUAACAAUAGUAAAACAUGUACAAGUUUAGGACUAAAAUUAUAUAUAUAUAUAUAUAUAUAUAUAUAUNNNNNNNNNNNNNNNNNNNNNNNNNNNNNNNNNNNNNNNNNNNNNNNNNNNNNNNNNNNNNNNNNNNNNNNNNNNNNNNNNNNNNNNNNNNNNNNNNNNNNNNNNNNNNNNNNNNNNNNNNNNNNNNNNNNNNNNNNNNNNNNNNNNNNNNNNNNNNNNNNNNNNNNNNNNNNNNNNNNNNNNNNNNNNNNNNNNNNNNNNNNNNNNNNNNNNNNNNNNNNNNNNNNNNNNNNNNNNNNNNNNNNNNNNNNNNNNNNNNNNNNNNNNNNNNNNNNNNNNNNNNNNNNNNNNNNNNNNNNNNNNNNNNNNNNNNNNNNNNNNNNNNNNNNNNNNNNNNNNNNNNNNNNNNNNNNNNNNNNNNNNNNNNNNNNNNNNNNNNNNGGUUUUUAAAAUUAUAUACCACCCACUUUAAAUAUGAUUUUAAGCAUCCAUUGUUUUGAUUAAAUUAUUGUUGUCCUUCUUUAGUUUUAUCAUAUUUCUUAAUUCAUGAAAAUUGAAAUUAUAUGUUAUUCUAUAGAUUAGUGUCAGUAUUUGUCCGUUAUUUUGUACAUAUUUUUUCAAGGUAACAGAAAGAUGGUUCUUGCUACGAAAGAGUGCCCAAUCAAGUGCCAUAAAAAUUUGAUUUUGGUAGCAAAAGAUAUUACCAUCAAAAUCAGUUUGUAUGUUAUACUCACGGGUAAUUUUUUAAAUUUUCAUUUAUCUUUUUGUAUUCUUAAAAGGAGUGAACUUAUUCUACUUAUGUUCUUAUUUUAACUUGACAUUAGUUUCAAGAGUAAUUUUCUUCUCAUUUGGAAAGGUGAAAUUAGAAUCUCAAUGCCAUAAGUUUACUCUCUUUUGGGGAUGGCAGAUAGAAUUGAUAAAAAAUUAGAAGAAAAAAAUUAAAAACUUGUUACUUGCAUGUUUCUUUGUAAAAUUCUAGGUGAGGAUUGUUCAGUCAAUGUGUUUCUAUAUUGAUUUUUUUAAUAAUUUAUUUAUAUUUGGUUUAGACCAAAUCUAAAGUCAGUGGGCAAAUAAGAUUAAAUUGUCAUUACAAUUAAUUUUCUUUUUAUUUUUGAUUGUUUAUACGUGUAUAUUUAUUUUUGAUUUGUUUUACAGUAAUUUGUUUAGGUUUUUCUUAUUUAAUUUAUAAUUUGUUUUAUAAUUUGUCUAGGUUUAGUUUAGAAUGCAUACCAAAGUCAUUGAGGAGUCCAAACCUUGUGGUCAUUAAGAAAUUCGUUAACUUUAAUUUGUUAAAACUGAAAUAACAAUGUAUUAUAUGGAAGCUCACAGAGCAAACUUUAAAUAACAAUAAAUCAUACGAGAAAAGAGAAAUAUAUAAAAAGAGAUACAAUAAUAUGAUUUGGUCACCUCACCUAUAUAUAUAUGAGCAAUUCACGAAAAAAAUAGUAUACAAACCUUUUCCUCCAAAAAAGGAAUAGCCAAAUAAAGAAUAGAUUUAUAUUUUUCUUUUAAGAAAGUAACAAGAGAAUUGUGGCAAAUAUUUGCCCAUGCUUCAAAGGAAAAAUAAAACUUAAAUAUAAUAAAUUAGGUCAGAAGCAACAACAUAACAUAGCAUUAUUUUAUACAAUAAAAUAUGUAUAAUUAUAAUUACUACUAAAUAACUAACUCAUUUCGUACAUGAAGAUUUAGAAAACAUGCAAUUACUUUGAACUCAUCUUGUCUUAACGUAAAGUAUUUAUUUUUUAUUCAAAAAAUUAUUGCAUAUAUCUCAACAUCAAUUGUUAUUUCACAUAAUUCAUUCUUAUUCUAUAUGAUGUAGGACUUUUUAAUAAUAGACGCAAAACACACGUGCAUCGCACGUACACUGAAACUAAUCAUAAUUAAAAGUAAGAAUUAACUUAAAUAGCGUCCACUCAACGGCUUAAAUUAUAAAUAGUUAUCGAGUAAAUAUAUAAUAUAUGUAUAAAAUAAUAUGCAACACCGUAUCCAACACCGCUUGGGCGGGAAAUUGUAAUAAAUAUACAUAUAAAUAAUAUGCAAAAUCAAUCGGAUAUAGAUAGUUUUAUGAGAGUGGUUGGUACAGUAGCUCAAAUUUUAGCCGCAUUUGUUUGUUUUAUAAAUAAAUAGGUAAAAAUCGAGCUUUGGACUUCCCCAUUAUUGUAACCAGUAAGCCGAAGGAGCUCUAAAGGUUAAUUGAGAGGGCAUCUAUCUAAAAAACAAAUGGUCAAGAGUACUCUUAAUACUCGUGUCAAUUGGUUUUUUGGCUCUUUACAAACUUAUUUUUAGUUUUAUGAACCUACUUCCUUUUUUUUCACAUGAUAAAUUUAUUUUUACACGUAAAAGAGCCGUCUUUUACACAUAAGAGAUCUAAAAAGGUCAUUUUCUUAAAUUCAAAAUUGUAAAGGGGCAUGAUGUACAAAUAGCACUCUCCCUCCAAUAGGUGCAUUGCAUAAAGAGCAAACCAUAUUGUCCAAACAACCCCAUAGUGCCAAACUUUCUUCCAUAUGCAGCUAGAUACAGAAUAUAAGCCCAUUUUUGUGAGGAAACAUUGUUACAAACCAAUCUCCUCCAAUACACCUUUUGAAAACCUCCUCUAAACUUCAGAUAUAUAUACCUGUUCUAUAAAGAACUGCUCAAUGUUCAACACAUCACCUUCUAGCCAGCCAGCUUCCCCAUAGUAUUUUCUAGCCUUCAAUAUUUUCUGAACUAGCCAUUAGGCCUGUUUGGGUAGUGCUUCCCAUAUUGUUUUCCAAAGAAAUUGUUAAAGUUUCCUUAAAGUUAGAGCAACUGGUUUCUGUUUCUUAUAUUAUAUGAUUUUCUUUAAUUAUUCUUCUUAGGUCAUAUAUUAUGGUAGGACGAAGACAGAUCCAAAAUUCAAACUGCAGAGCUCAAAAUUUACUAUUUAUAAUAUUUUUCAGAAUUAUUCACACAACACACAAAUAAUACAAGAAGAAAAUGACAGUUCUGAUCCGUCUAUCCUUAGAGAUCUCGGGUUCGAGCCAUGAAAUUGUAAACUCAUAGUAGGGACGCUUUACUCCUUUAGUGGUAUAAAUCCGGAUUAAUCAAGCCAAUGAGUUGUGGAUACUUGAUGGUUAAACCAAAAUAGAAAAUGAUAGGCUCAAUUGGAUGCAUGUUCAAAACUAUAUAAGUCUGCUGGGUAAUUAGGGAAGUCUAAUGGCCUUUUCUUUCCUUUUACAUGCUGGGAUAAUUAUCACACAACGUCCCCGACUCCAGAAACCACAUAGAGGGCAAUGGUUCCAGCAACUUAAUGCGGCAGCUUCUGUAAUUGUGGACGGAUCAGUAAUAAUCCUGGUCCUAUACUUGAGAUUGUACUUGUGAGUACAAAAUAAGUCUCAUUUUUUUUAACCACUAUAGGGUUCGAACCGUGGAAACAGCCUCUUGCAGAAAUGCAGAGUAAGGCUACGUACAAUAGACCCUUGUGGUCCGACCCUUCCCGAACCCCGCGCAUAGCAGGAGCUUAGUGCACCGGGCGGCCCUUUUACUCACUACACAUGUCAUACAAGAGGAGGGAGAGGACAUCCAUUGCACCAAUCCUGAAUUAAUGAUCACAUGGAAGCUAAUAAGUCUCAAAUACAAUAUACGUCAACACAUGCACCAUCUUCCAUUUACAAUGUCUCUCAAAUCAAAAGCAAACUACACAAAAGCACCACAAAGCGUGAAACUAUCACACAGUUCAAAUAAAACAAUUUGCCUCUAAAAGCUUCCUCAUACACAAUAACAAGGUCAAGAGUUAAAUCUCAAUAAAAUUUCAAAGAACAUCCAAAAACUGAAGUUAUUGUAGACUUACAAUACAAAAGGCAAACCGAUAAAAUUGAUAGUAGAUAGUCCAACCAAAGUUGAAGAUUUACAGGUUCCAUGGUGAAUCAUGGCACCUGCAUUUCCCAAUUCUAAACCCGGUAGAAUUCUAACUAACCUAAGAAUAAGAUAUUAAAUUACUUCAUGUAAGGAAGAAUUCACCUCACAUAACCAAAACAACCUCAAAGGAGAUCGGCCACAUUGGCUGGCAACUCCUCGAUGACAACAUUAUAAAACUUCUGAAUGUCAGAAAGCAUCCUUUCAUCAUCCUUUGUGACAAAGUUGAUAGCAACACCCUUCCUUCCAAAACGUCCACUACGACCAAUACGAUGCAGAUAGUUCUCUGGCUGAGUUGGAAGGUCGUAGUUAAUCACAAGGGAAACUUGCUGCACGUCAAUACCACGCGCCAGAAGAUCAGUGGUGAUGAGCACACGAGACGACCCAGAUCGGAACUCUCGCAUAAUGAUAUCUCUAGUAUUCUGGUCCAUGUCUCCGUGAGUUGCAGAUACUGUGUGAUCACGGCUGCGCAUUUUGUCAGUGAGCCAAUCAACCUUACGCCUGGUGUUAACAAAGAUGACACUCUGGGUGAUGGCUAAGGUCUCGUAAAGAUCGCAAAGAGUUUCAAGCUUCCACUCUUCCUUAUCAACAUUGACAUAAAAUUGCUUGAUACCUUCAAGCGUAAGCUCAUCACGCUUUACAAGAAUCCUCACAGGCUUGUUCAUGAACUUCCUAGUAAUUUCAAGGGCCUCUGGCGGCAUAGUGGCAGAGAAAACACCCACUUGAAUCUUUGGUGGUAGCAAUUGGAAAAUAUCAUAAAUCUGGAAAUAAUGAAAGACAACAUUCGAAUAAGACACUGUUUGUGAACCUUGGGAGCAAUAAAUCAGCUUAUAGGUUAGGCCCAGAAGAGAAACUACAGGAAAUAAUGGGGAAAAACCAGCAAAGUCCUGUAGCAAUUCUAAAAGACAUUAAAGCAUAAUAACGACAAGAAUAGAACUCACAUGAAGAGGCUAAUAUUAGAUAUUGACAAAUCUUUUUCGAACAUAAAAUAUGACUAAGAAAAGAAGCAUACAUAUACUUACUUUAUCCCCUCUCCCCCCCCCCCCAAAAAAAAUAAAAAAAGAAAAACACAUCCCCAUAUUUAUGCACUACCCAACACAGAAACCUAAUCGAUAAGAAAAUUCCACCAAAAGGACAGAAAAAAAAAUAAAGCAGAAAAUGAGAGUAGUAAACAGCAACCUGAUCCUUGAAACCUCUUGAGAGCAUUUCAUCAGCUUCAUCCAGAACAAACAUCUUGAUGUGGUCAGGGCGAAGAGACUGCCUGCGCAACAUGUCAAAGACACGGCCAGGAGUACCAACCACCACAUGAACACCACUUUGAAGGAUACGCUGAUCUUCACGGACACUGGUACCUCCUACACAAGCAUGAACCUUCACACCGAGAUAGUCACCAAGUGCUCGCAUAACCUUCUCAAUCUGUUGGGCAAGCUCACGGGUUGGAGCCAGAACCAGAGCCUGACAUUCGACUAAGCUGUAAUCAAGCUGCUGGAGAACUCCAGAGCAGAAAGUUGCAGUCUUUCCGGUUCCGGAUUGUGCCUGUUGGAUCACAUCAAGACCCUUGCAAAAUGGGACAAUACCCCUUUGCUGGAUAGCAGAUGGCUUCUCAAAACCUUCAAGCAAUUUAAGAGAGGUGUUGAAUGCCCAGCUAAAUAUAACAAGGGAGACGAAUACCAUAUGUGCUUUUAAGAAGUGCAUUUACCAUAAGCAUAGAUGCCCCUAAGCAGGUUUUCUUGCAAACCCAUGGCAUCAAAACUGUCAUAAACCUCAUCAUAUGAUGUGAAGAACUCCUCCUGUUCAGUCCCAAGCCUGUUUCAGCAUGUCAAACAUCCAGAAAAUUGAAAAAUAAAAUGAGCAAGCAAAAACAAACACAGAAUAGCAGCAAGUGAUAGCUAAAGCACUUUAUGAGGAAAAUAAAACGUAAGUGUAGUUUUCUGCUACCAGAUUAGUAGCCUAUUGGUAUAGAAUUGAG